GCCACCGUAGCUCAAUUGGCAGAGCAGCGGUUUUGUAAACCGCAGGUUGCGGGUUCGAGUCCCGCCGGUGGCU
rnacentral:tRNA from 3 species